UUGGCCAAGUGCAUCUUCGCAGUCCUCUACAUCGGGUGGAUGCUCUUGAUCUGGUCUAGGUUGGAUCCCUCAAGGCAUUUCCUCAUAGUCUGCCUCUGGAAAUAGAAGUCAUAGGCUUUGGAGUAAGUGUCUGACUGGGGGGCUGCCCAGGACAGCUGCAUAAAAUAACCCUUACAAUCCAUCUUAGUGUUGGGAGGCUAUUCUUGUCCCAUCACAACCAAAAUGAAAGGAAUAAGAAGAGCCUCUUUAACAUCCACUUCACUCUACGGUUUGCAAAGAACUCUCAAAUCUCGUGUGAUCCUUUCUCAAAGCAGGGAGUUGUGUUCCCAGUAUCAGUGCACACGGAUUAUAUACAAAGUGUCUUUGAUAAGAAGUGAAAGAAAAGAGGUGUCCACUUCCAGACUCGAACAAAAAUAGAAAGCAUAUCAGCUCUCAGCGGCUCACUUCACCUGUAUU